rnacentral:rRNA from 1 species
GAUGAACGCUGGCGGCGUGCCUAAUACAUGCAAGUCGAGCGAACAGACGAGGAGCUUGCUCCUCUGACGUUAGCGGCGGACGGGUGAGUAACACGUGGAUAACCUACCUAUAAGACUGGGAUAACUUCGGGAAACCGGGGCUAAUACCGGAUAAUAUAUUGAACCGCAUGGUUCAAUAGUGAAAGACGGUUUUGCUGUCACUUAUAGAUGGAUCCGCGCCGCAUUAGCUAGUUGGUAAGGUAACGGCUUACCAAGGCAACGAUGCGUAGCCGACCUGAGAGGGUGAUCGGCCACACUGGAACUGAGACACGGUCCAGACUCCUACGGGAGGCAGCAGUAGGGAAUCUUCCGCAAUGGGCGAAAGCCUGACGGAGCAACGCCGCGUGAGUGAUGAAGGUCUUCGGAUCGUAAAACUCUGUUAUGAGGGAAGAACAAAUGUGUAAGUAACUAUGCACGUCUUGACGGUACCUAAUCAGAAAGCCACGGCUAACUACGUG